rnacentral:rRNA from 1 species
GACGAACGCUGGCGGCGUGCUUAACACAUGCAAGUCGAACGCUGAAGCUCAGCUUUUGUUGGGUGGAUGAGUGGCGAACGGGUGAGUAACACGUGAGUAACCAGCCUCCUUCUUUGGGAUAACGCCCGGAAACGGGUGCUAAUACUGGAUAUUCACUGGUCUUCGCAUGGGGGUUGGUGGAAAGGGUUUUUCUGGUGGGGGAUGGGCUCGCGGCCUAUCAGCUUGUUGGUGGGGUGAUGGCCUACCAAGGCUUUGACGGGUAGCCGGCCUGAGAGGGUGACCGGUCACAUUGGGACGGAGAUACGGCCCAGACUACGACGGGAGGCAGAAGGGGGGAAUAUGGCACAAUGGGAGCAAGACUGAUGCAGCGACGCAGCGGGAGGGAUGGAGGCCGUCGGGUUGUGAACCUCUUUCGCUCAUGGUCAAGCCGCAACAAUGGUUGUGGUGAGGGUAGUGGGUAAAGAAGCGCCGGCUAACUACGUG